rnacentral:misc_RNA from 1 species
GCGGAACGUAGUGUUGGAUAUAGAUAAAUAAAUUAAAUAUUUUUAUAGCAGUGCCAUCUACUGGCCGCUUUACUAUUUACUGUAUAGUGUGUUGCUUUCAACGUUUGUUUAACAAGUAGUCCUUAAAAUACAGCCAUUGGGUAAACAACGUUUUAUUUGUUCCUUAAAUCUCCCAUUUUUGUUCCUCAACUCUACAAUUUACGAACAGGUUAUGGGCCCAGACGAUUAAGUGGAAGAUUUUCUGGUCGUUCAAAUCAAAACAGUGUGUGUUCAUUCGAUAAAAAGUUAGUUAGUCGGUUUGUUGGUUAACAACGUGGUUAUUAACAGUAUCGAAAAUGGCGGUGAAUUAUCUUACAAGUGUGCCGCGUUUAACCGGUAGAGAUAACUACCAGGACUGGUCGUUCGCGGUUGAGAAUGUCUUUGUUCUAGAAGGACUAUCAAAGUGUAUUCAGGGAACUGAACAAGACACAACGCUUGUUGCCAAAGCCAAAGCUAAGUUAAUAUUGACUUUGGAUCCAUCCAUAUAUUUGCAUGUGAAAGAAGCUGAAACGGCGAAAGAUGUAUGGGAUAAGCUGAAAAAGUUAUUCGAAGACUCAGGUUUUUCGAGGAAAAUAGGAUUGCUUCGAACACUCAUAUCACUAAGGUUGGAAAAUUGCAGUUCCAUGGAAUCCUAUGUGAAUCAGGUGAUCGAAACUGCACAGAAGUUGAAUAGGACUGGUUUCCAAAUUGAUGACAUGUGGUUGGGAUCGCUUCUCCUAGCGGGACUUCCGGAACAGUAUACUCCAAUGUUACUGGCAAUUGAACAUUCGGGGAUAUCUAUUACCACUGAUGUAAUCAAAUCUAAAUUGCUAGAUAUGCAGAUAGACAGCACUAACAGUGAAAAGCAGACAGCUUUUAUGUCAAAGUCGAGUGAAGUUAGCACUAAGCAUGUCAAAAAAGUUAACAAGAAAAACAUAACCUGCUUCCGGUGUAAACAAAAAGGUCAUUAUAUGAAUAAGUGCCCUAGUGCUAAUAAUAAUGCGUUUAGUGCAACAUUCUUAAGUGGAAACUUUAAAUCUACAGAUUUUUAUGUCGAUUCUGGAUGCAGCACGCAUCUUACAGCGAGAAAAGAUUGGUUGACAAAUAUCCGAGAUGCAAGUUCGUCCAAUAUAACUGUGGCUAACAGUGAAAGUUUGGAAGUGAAAUGUGCUGGUGAUAUGAUGGUAACCACAAUUGUCGAUAAAAAGAGAUUAGAGAUACAACAGCAGAAGUUAAUAAGGAGAAAACCUUUAAUUGUUUUGAUGUAUCAUCCAAUGACAGGCUUCUAGCUGCUGGCACAGAUGUACUUGGGGGAGAUGCUUUUGUAUUAUUUUGGGAUAUAAGAAUUAACAAGCUGUUAGGAGGAUAUUGGCAAUCACACACUGAUGACAUUACUCAGGUUCGUUUUCAUCCAGACGAUAUGAAUAAAUUAAUAUCUGGAUCAACCGAUGGUCUCAUAAAUUUAUAUGAUUUGUCCCAGGAGUCAGAAGAUGAUGCCUUAAUAGACACCCUUAAUACCGAAUCUUCUGUAAACGAAUUACAGUGGUUCACCAAAAAUAACAAAGACUGUAUUAGCUGUGUGACCCAUACAUCUGACCUGCAGUUAUGGGAUUUGGACAAAGGUGAACCAUAUCAAUCAUUUAGUAGAGAAUACU